rnacentral:rRNA from 1 species
CCUACGGGUGGCUGCAGUCGAGAAUCUUUCACAAUGGGCGAAACCCUGAUGGAGCGACGCCGCGUGGGGGAAUGAAGGUCUUCGGAUUGUAAACCCCUGUCAUGUGGGAGCAAAUUAAAAAGAGAGUACCACAAGAGGUAUACACUUCUAACUCUGUGCCAGCAGCCGCGGUAAUACAGAGGUCUCAAGCGUUGUUCGGAAUCACUGGGCGUAAAGGGUUCGUAGGCUGGUUAGUAAGUCGUGAGUGAAAGGCUCGGGCUCAACCCGAGGACGGCACAUGAUACUGGGAGACUAGAGUACAGGAGAGGGAAGCGGAAUUCUCGGUGUAGCAGUGAAAUGCGUAGAUAUCGAGAAGAACACUCGUGGCGAAGGCGGGUUCCUGGACAGUAACUGACGCUGAGGCACGAAGGCCAGGGGAGCGAAAGGGAUUAGAUACCCGUGUAGUC